AUGGGCUUUGGGUUAUGUAGAUCAAAAAUGAUGAAUGGGAUUGUGGCACUCCACUCGCCGCCAAUGCGGAAGGAUGCCGCCGAAAAGAAUGGAACGCUGCUUCGCUCUGCUGGAUGCGUCGGAUCCCAUAUAAGAAGCUCGCUCUUUACCCGAUCAUUCAAACAUUUUGUGGGCGACGCGCCUGCUCUAUUGUUGCGUAGCAAUAGAAGCCUGCUCAUGCUACUUCGACGGCGCUUUUUUGCCUUCUCUUCACUCUGGACAGGAGCGCUAAUGGACACGAGGAGGGAGCAGGCGAAGCGUGUCGUUCGUAAUGGAAAGAAAGACACCACUACUUCGCCUCUUUGUUGGACCGCCGGCGCGAACACGGUGGUCUCUGACCAGGACCAGGAACCAAUUCGAAUUUGGAUCUUGACAUGUCGGUUGUUUUUAACCAUAGGCAUCUCGCCAGGAAGUUGGUGGGCUCAUCAUGAAUUAGGUCGGGGUGGCUGGUGGUUUCGGGAUCCCGUAGAAAAUGCGUCUUUUAUGCCUCAGGUAUUAGCCACAGCUCGUAUUCAUUCAGUAAUUCUACCCCUUCUUCAUUCUUGGACCUCGCUUCUAAAUAUUUUGACUCUUCCAUGCUGUGUCUUAGGAACCUUUUCACUCGGGGAUGGAAUCAAUCAAAGAACUUAA
rnacentral:rRNA from 1 species